rnacentral:rRNA from 1 species
GCUCCAAUAGCGUAUAUUAAAGUUGUUGCAGUUAAAAAGCUCGUAGUUGGAUGUCGGGCUGCGGGGGGCGGUCGCCGCAAGGCGCGCACCGCCGGCUGCGCAGUCGUGGACGCCUGGGAGCGCGUGUGCCUUUGGUGGGUGGGCGCGGGACUGGGCCAGUUACUGUGAGAAAAUUAGAGUGCUCAAGGCAGGCCAGCGCU